AGCGUACACGGUGGAUGCCCUGGCAGUCAGAGGCGAUGAAGGACGUGCUAAUCUGCGAAAAGCGUCGGUAAGGUGAUAUGAACCGUUAUAACCGGCGAUGUCCGAAUGGGGAAACCCAGUGUGUUUCGACACACUAUCAUUAACUGAAUCCAUAGGUUAAUGAGGCGAACCGGGGGAACUGAAACAUCUAAGUACCCCGAGGAAAAGAAAUCAACCGAGAUUCCCCCAGUAGCGGCGAGCGAACGGGGAGGAGCCCAGAGCCUGAAUCAGUGUGUGUGUUAGUGGAAGCGUCUGGAAAGGCGCGCGAUACAGGGUGACAGCCCCGUACACAAAAAUGCACAUGCUGUGAGCUCGAUGAGUAGGGCGGGACACGUGGUAUCCUGUCUGAAUAUGGGGGGACCAUCCUCCAAGGCUAAAUACUCCUGACUGACCGAUAGUGAACCAGUACCGUGAGGGAAAGGCGAAAAGAACCCCGGCGAGGGGAGUGAAAAAGAACCUGAAACCGUGUACGUACAAGCAGUGGGAGCCCUGAUUUAUCAGGGUGACUGCGUACCUUUUGUAUAAUGGGUCAGCGACUUAUAUUCUGUAGCAAGGUUAACCGAAUAGGGGAGCCGGAGGGAAACCGAGUCUUAACUGGGCGUUAAGUUGCAGGGUAUAGACCCGAAACCCGGUGAUCUAGCCAUGGGCAGGUUGAAGGUUGGGUAACACUAACUGGAGGACCGAACCGACUAAUGUUGAAAAAUUAGCGGAUGACUUGUGGCUGGGGGUGAAAGGCCAAUCAAACCGGGAGAUAGCUGGUUCUCCCCGAAAGCUAUUUAGGUAGCGCCUCGUGAAUUCAUCUCCGGGGGUAGAGCACUGUUUCGGCAAGGGGGUCAUCCCGACUUACCAACCCGAUGCAAACUGCGAAUACCGGAGAAUGUUAUCACGGGAGACACACGGCGGGUGCUAACGUCCGUCGUGAAGAGGGAAACAACCCAGACCGCCAGCUAAGGUCCCAAAGUCAUGGUUAAGUGGGAAACGAUGUGGGAAGGCCCAGACAGCCAGGAUGUUGGCUUAGAAGCAGCCAUCAUUUAAAGAAAGCGUAAUAGCUCACUGGUCGAGUCGGCCUGCGCGGAAGAUGUAACGGGGCUAAACCAUGCACCGAAGCUGCGGCAGCGACACUGUGUGUUGUUGGGUAGGGGAGCGUUCUGUAAGCCUGCGAAGGUGUGCUGUGAGGUAUGCUGGAGGUAUCAGAAGUGCGAAUGCUGACAUAAGUAACGAUAAAGCGGGUGAAAAGCCCGCUCGCCGGAAGACCAAGGGUUCCUGUCCAACGUUAAUCGGGGCAGGGUGAGUCGACCCCUAAGGCGAGGCCGAAAGGCGUAGUCGAUGGGAAACAGGUUAAUAUUCCUGUACUUGGUGUUACUGCGAAGGGGGGACGGAGAAGGCUAUGUUGGCCGGGCGACGGUUGUCCCGGUUUAAGCGUGUAGGCUGGUUUUCCAGGCAAAUCCGGAAAAUCAAGGCUGAGGCGUGAUGACGAGGCACUACGGUGCUGAAGCGACAAAUGCCCUGCUUCCAGGAAAAGCCUCUAAGCAUCAGGUAACAUCAAAUCGUACCCCAAACCGACACAGGUGGUCAGGUAGAGAAUACCAAGGCGCUUGAGAGAACUCGGGUGAAGGAACUAGGCAAAAUGGUGCCGUAACUUCGGGAGAAGGCACGCUGAUAUGUAGGUGAAGCGACUUGCUCGUGGAGCUGAAAUCAGUCGAAGAUACCAGCUGGCUGCAACUGUUUAUUAAAAACACAGCACUGUGCAAACACGAAAGUGGACGUAUACGGUGUGACGCCUGCCCGGUGCCGGAAGGUUAAUUGAUGGGGUCAGCGCAAGCGAAGCUCUUGAUCGAAGCCCCGGUAAACGGCGGCCGUAACUAUAACGGUCCUAAGGUAGCGAAAUUCCUUGUCGGGUAAGUUCCGACCUGCACGAAUGGCGUAAUGAUGGCCAGGCUGUCUCCACCCGAGACUCAGUGAAAUUGAACUCGCUGUGAAGAUGCAGUGUACCCGCGGCAAGACGGAAAGACCCCGUGAACCUUUACUAUAGCUUGACACUGAACACUGGUCCUUGAUGUGUAGGAUAGGUGGGAGGCUUUGAAGUGUGGACGCCAGUCUGCAUGGAGCCGUCCUUGAAAUACCACCCUUUAAUGGCUGGUGUUCUAACGUGGGCCCGUAAUCCGGGUUGCGGACAGUGUCUGGUGGGUAGUUUGACUGGGGCGGUCUCCUCCUAAAGAGUAACGGAGGAGCACGAAGGUUGGCUAAUCCUGGUCGGACAUCAGGAGGUUAGUGCAAUGGCAUAAGCCAGCUUGACUGCGAGCGUGACGGCGCGAGCAGGUGCGAAAGCAGGUCAUAGUGAUCCGGUGGUUCUGAAUGGAAGGGCCAUCGCUCAACGGAUAAAAGGUACUCCGGGGAUAACAGGCUGAUACCGCCCAAGAGUUCAUAUCGACGGCGGUGUUUGGCACCUCGAUGUCGGCUCAUCACAUCCUGGGGCUGAAGUAGGUCCCAAGGGUAUGGCUGUUCGCCAUUUAAAGUGGUACGCGAGCUGGGUUUAGAACGUCGUGAGACAGUUCGGUCCCUAUCUGCCGUGGGCGCUGGAGAACUGAGGGGGGCUGCUCCUAGUACGAGAGGACCGGAGUGGACGCAUCACUGGUGUUCGGGUUGUCAUGCCAAUGGCACUGCCCGGUAGCUAAAUGCGGAAGAGAUAAGUGCUGAAAGCAUCUAAGCACGAAACUUGCCCCGAGAUGAGUUCU
rnacentral:rRNA from 1 species